rnacentral:rRNA from 1 species
GUCGAGGGGCAGCAUCAUUAAAGCUUGCUUUGAUGGAUGGCGACCGGCGCACGGGUGAGUAACACGUAUCCAACCUGCCGACAACACUGGGAUAGCCUUUCGAAAGAAAGAUUAAUACCGGAUGGCAUAGUCUUCCCGCAUGGGAUGACUAUUAAAGAAUUUCGGUUGUCGAUGGGGAUGCGUUCCAUUAGGCAGUUGGCGGGGUAACGGCCCACCAAACCAACGAUGGAUAGGGGUUCUGAGAGGAAGGUCCCCCACAUUGGAACUGAGGCACGGUCCAAACUCCUACGGGAGGCAGCAGUGAGGAAUAUUGGUCAAUGGACGAGAGUCUGAACCAGCCAAGUAGCGUGAAGGAUGACUGCCCUAUGGGUUGUAAACUUCUUUUAUACGGGAAUAAAGUGAGCCACGUGUGGCUUUUUGUAUGUACCGUAUGAAUAAGGAUCGGCUAACUCCGUGCCAGCAGCCGCGGUAAUACGGAGGAUCCGAGCGUUAUCCGGAUUUAUUGGGUUUAAAGGGAGCGUAGGCGGGUUGUUAAGUCAGUUGUGAAAGUUUGCGGCUCAACCGUAAAAUUGCAGUUGAUACUGGCGACCUUGAGUGCAACAGAGGUAGGCGGAAUUCGUGGUGUAGCGGUGAAAUGCUUAGAUAUCAC